UCGAAUAUAUAGAGGCAUCUCCAUAGAAAUCAAGAGAUCAGAAACCAUUCAAGAACCAAAAAUCAUAAUCAAAACAUAUGGUGAUCCGCUUCAAGCUUCUUCCUAUUAUCUUCAUUUUUUGUGUUCUAUUGGCCUCAGACUAUCAGUUCUCUCUGCAAUGCAUGGCCGCCCGGACACUUAAGAACCAUCUGCCUGAUGAUCACAGCAGUAAAGGUCAGGUAGGGGGAAGCCACCCCAGAAGUGAUGGCUCCAAGGGCCAAAGUUCGCCUUCCCCACCUUCAAAAGGUACGCUAGGGAGAAGCCCCUCCCAAGCUGCUUGUGGGAGAACUUCCCGGGGUUAUGUUCCAUGCACAUUGGACCCCAAUCACGUACGCAAUUACAGACCCGUAAAGUGUGCUACGUUCAACCGUGAUUGUCACUGAAAAAUAAAAGCGGAAAACAACGACAAUAAGAGGAUUACAAAUUUCUAGCAAUUUCACUUUGGCGUCCAAUUAUAUCUAACUAUGUACUUUGGUGACUCAUUUCGUGUAUGGAUGUGAAUAUCCAUGAUAUUUGAGACGGAUGCAUUGAAAUCGACAGUCUUCACAUGAAUUAGCUGUAAUGAAGUUGUGAAGUUUGAACUAUUGGAUCCCAAAGUAUACAAGGAGUAAUGUUCAUAUUGUUGCGUCGGCAA